GACGAACGCUGGCGGCGUGCUUAACACAUGCAAGUCGAACGGAAAGGCCCUGCUUGCAGGGUGCUCGAGUGGCGAACGGGUGAGUAACACGUGGGUGAUCUGCCCCUUACUUUGGGAUAAGCCUGGGAAACUGGGUCUAAUACUGGAUAGGACCAUGCUGUAGGUGGUGUGGUGGAAAGAUUAGUCUCGGUAAGGGAUGAGCUCGCGGCCUAUCAGCUUGUUGGUGGGGUAAUGGCCUACCAAGGCGUCGACGGGUAGCCGGCCUGAGAGGGUGGACGGCCACAUUGGGACUGAGAUACGGCCCAGACUCCUACGGGAGGCAGCAGUGGGGAAUAGUGCACAAUGGGCGCAAGCCUGAUGCAGCGACGCCGCGUGGGGGAUGACGGCCUUCGGGUUGUAAACUCCUUUCAGCCAUGACGAAGCCCUUGUGGUGACGGUAGUGGUAGAAGAAGCACCGGCUAACUACGUG
rnacentral:rRNA from 1 species